GACGAACGCUGGCGGCGUGCUUAACACAUGCAAGUCGAGCGGUAAGGCCCUUCCGGGGGUACACGAGCGGCGAACGGGUGAGUAACACGUGGGUGACCUGCCCUUAGCUCUGGGAUAAGCCUGGGAAACUGGGUCUAAUACCGGAUAUGACUCCAUGACGCAUGUUGUGGGGUGGAAAGCCUUGUGCGGCUAGGGAUGGGCCUGCGGCCUAUCAGCUUGUUGGUGGGGUGANGGCCUACCAAGGCGACGACGGGUAGCCGGCCUGAGAGGGCGACCGGCCACACUGGGACUGAGACACGGCCCAGACUCCUACGGGAGGCAGCAGUGGGGAAUCUUGCGCAAUGGGCGAAAGCCUGACGCAGCGACGCCGCGUGGGGAUGACGGCCU
rnacentral:rRNA from 1 species